GUGUCGUAGUCGAGUGGUUUAAGCACUUCACUUAAAAUGCAAAGGCCGUGGGUUCGAUUCCCGACACGGCACU
rnacentral:tRNA from 1 species